rnacentral:lncRNA from 1 species
CAUGCAUAUACAGCCAUCCAAUUAGACAAGAUGGAUGAAGCAAAGAAGUGCAGGCUGACAGGAGCCGGAUGUAGAUCUCUCCUGAGAGACACAGCCAGAAUACAGCAAACACAGAGGCGAAUGCCAGCAGCAAACCACUGGACUGAGAAUAGGACCCCUGUUGAAGGAAUCAGAGAAAGAACUGGAAGAGCUUGAAGGGGCUCGAGACCCCAUAUGUACAACAGUGCCAACCAACCAGAGCUUCCAGGGACUAAGCCACUACCUAAAGACUAUACAUGGACUGACCCUGGACUCUGACCUCAUAGGUAGCAAUGAAUAUCCUAGUAAGAGCACCAGUGGAAGGGGAAGCCCUGGGUCCUGCUAAGACUGAACCCCCAGUGAACUAGAUUGUUGCGGGGAGGGCGACAAGUGGGGGAGGAUGGGGAGGGGAACACCCAUAGAGAAGGGGAGGGGUGAGGGGGAUGUUUGCCCGGAAACCGGGAAAGGGAAUAACACUCGAAAUGUAUAUAAGAAAUACUCAAGUUAAUAAAAAAAAAGAAAUGUAA